UACGUAGGGUGCUAGCGUUAUCCGGAUUUACUGGGCGUAAAGGGUGCGUAGGUGGUCUUUCAAGUCGGUGGUUAAAGGCUACGGCUCAACCAAUGUUCGGUGUGGAAACUAUAAAACUUGAGUAGAUGAGGGGCAAGUGGAAUUCCUAGUGUAGCGGUGAAAUGCUUAGAUAUUAGGAGGAAUACCAGUGGCGAAGGCGACUUGCUGGAAUCUAACUGACGCUGAGGUACGAAAGCGUGGGGAGCAAACAGG
rnacentral:rRNA from 1 species